rnacentral:lncRNA from 1 species
AACCAUGGACCAAAGUCUGGGCAAACACACGCAACACGACUCUCAAUGUGAAGAAGGGUGUGUGCAAAGAUGAAGAGAAAGACUUUAAAGUGUGUGAGAAGGCUUACAGUGGGCUGCCAAAGAAGACUUCAAUAUCUUUAAAGUGGGUAAACACUGGCUUUUGUAGGUACAAAAGUAGCUAUAUAUCAGCUCACAGGUGUUUAAAAUGAGAAAGUACUCCGUAUGGGGUGAGUGCAGAGUAAAUUGGACAGGGCUUCCUCGCCCUUUUCUCUUGCAAAAUGGCCAACCCAAGCCCUCUAUUUAUAGAGGGUGGAGCCGUAGGUGUACCAGCGGCUGGGCUGUAGGUGUACCAAAGGCUACCCGAAUUGCCCCGGGUUUCUCGGGUCGGGUCGUCUCGUAGUACGUGCACUCGGGCACUGUAACGUCUGCUCGAACUUUCAGAAGUGCAAUCCGGGCAUCCGAUUGAGGUAUACAAGACCUAUUUCGGACCGCCGUUGUCGAGAGCUGUACAAUGGCAUGGGAUUAGAGUUUGUAUGAAGUCAUUGAAGAUGGGACGAAGCCCUCUGGUCUUCAAGCUUCAAAUUCUAUCUGUUACCCCGUACAAUAGUCAUUCAGGAUUGGUUCUCCUUAAUUCUUGUGGGACAUCGUUGUGUAGAGAUGUGUAUGAAAUGUUGAGACGACGUGACGUGGCAUCGCAUUUGGCAAGAUGAUGAUGUUUCCCUUCACCGGUGUUAUCGCCGGUUUGGGCUGAUAAAGCAGACGUUGCUCAGGGCUUCGCUGAGAUUGGACUGCUGCAAUUGUUGAAGGUCCUCAGUGUCAUCUCUGAGGUGUGCCUGCCCUCCCGAUGUUAUCUCUGGGUUGGUACUGAGUAUCUCGUUGUGAGUGCCGAGAUUGAAGCUAGUUGCAUUUGAAACAAGUAUUUCCG